UUAAUUAAAGCCAAAGUAGAGGCCUCUUAUUGUUAAUAAGAAAAAUGAUUUUUAUGUCUAAUUAAA
rnacentral:tRNA from 1 species